UUAAUUAAUCUAAUUAAUUAACAUAAAUUUAUCCUACACUAGGAUCUAAAUAUGAUAUAUAGCAUGCAUUCAUUUAAAUUUGAAAUUCAAAUUCGAACAGUAAACACUUUACUGUAAUGUGUUCAGAACACAAUACCUUUGUGCGGGUAGUAGAUCACCGCAAUCUGAUCACCGUCGGGAGAGUCUGAUCAUCGUGACACAACCACACAGUGUGUCUGACCUCUGCGGAUCAUCCACACGAAGCUCCCGAUCUGAUCGACUCCUCACGAGUGCUAGCUUGUUGUAGAGCCCUUUUGACGGUGGAUGCUGAUCGAACUCCUUCGAUCAAUGUCUGUCGAUUCUUUGGAUGCUUCGGAUUAUCAACAGAUGUGCUUGAGAGGAUGUUGA
rnacentral:lncRNA from 1 species